GACGAACGCUGGCGGCGUGCCUAAUACAUGCAAGUCGAACGCAGUGGGGACGGGUGAGUAACACGUGGGUCACCUCCCAUCAGAGGGGAUAACACUUGGCAACAGGUGCUAAACCGAUACUGAUGGCUGAACCCGCGGUGCAUGAGCUAGUUGGUGAGGUAACGGCUCACCAAGGCCACGAUGCAUAGCCGACCUGAGAGGGGGAUCGGCCACACUGGGAAUGAGACACGGCCCAGACUCCUACGGGAGGCAGCAGUAGGGAAUCUUCGGCAAUGGACGAAAGUCUGACCGAGAAACGCCGCGGGAGUGAAGAAGGUUUUCGGAUCGUAAAACUCUGUUGGUAGAGAAGCGGUAUCUAACCAGAAAGCCACGGCUAACUACGUGCCAGCAGCCGCGGUAAUUC
rnacentral:rRNA from 1 species